GCCUUUCCUAGCCGGAAGAGGAGAUGUAUACACUAUUGAGAAUCAUAGAACCAAGAAUCCACCACACUCCAGUCUAAACGACUGAUUAUGUUUUAUAAGUGCAAGAGAAGAGCAGAGAGGAGGUGAGGAAAGAGUGCAUCAUCUGAAUUACCUGCAGUAAGGGGCAAAAAAGGGCUCUGUUACAUUGCCUAGGGACAGAAUUUAAAAUAGCUAUGAUGCUAUAGUAUUUUUUUGAAGAUUUUUUUUCAGAAUUUAUUAUUUAAAACACUGCACUUGACUGAGAUGAUUGAUAGACUUUUUAUUGUAAAAUAUUUAUUAAGGAAAAUUUCAAAUAUACAUAAAAGUAUAUCUACAGCUAAUGAAGAGUGUAAUAAACCCUCACAUACUCAUCCCUCAGAUUCAAAAAUUAUUAACAUAGCCAAUCUUGUUUCAUUUAUACCUCUACUCACUUCCUCGUGGGAGCAUGAGAAGUUUUGGAGACUUAGUUAAUUGAAUAAAAGUUGAUUGUGGCUAGAAAAAAGCCAGAGGCUGGGUGUGGUAGCUUACGCCUGUAAUCCCUGGACUUUGGGAGGCCAAGGCAGACAGAUCGCUUGAGCCCAGGAGUUUGAGACCAGCCUGGGCAACAUGGUGAAACCCUGUCUUUACUAAAAAUGCAAAAAUUGGCCAGACACGUUGGCUCACACCUGUAAUCCCAGCACUUUGGGAGGCCAAGGCGGGUGGAUCAUGAGGUCAGAAGUUCAAGACCAGCCUGGCCAAUAUGGUGAAACUCCAUCUCUACUAAAAACAUAAAAAUUAGCUUGGCGUGGUGGCACGUAUAUGUAGUCCCAGCUGCUCAGGAGGCUGAGGCAGGAGGAAUCACUUGAACCCGAGAGAUGGAGGUUGCAGUGAGCUGAGAUCGUGCCACCGAACUCCAGCCUGGGCGACAGAGUGAUACUCCGUCUCAAAAAACCAAACCAAACCAAAUGAAAACCAAAAUCAAACAAACAAAUAAAAAUGCAAAAAUUAGCUGGGUGUGGUGGCGUGUGCCUGUAGUCCUAGCUACUUGGGAGGCAGAGGUAGGAUGAACAUGCUUGAGCUCGAGAGAUCGAGGCUGCAGUGAACCAUGACUGUGCCACUGCACUCUGCCUGUGUGAUAGAGCAAGGCUCUGUCUCUCUUUCUCUGUCUCUCUCUCUCUCUCUCACACACACACACACACCAAAAAAAAAAAAAAAAAAAAA
rnacentral:lncRNA from 1 species